CCCGGGCCCUGCUCCCGCUGGAGCCACCCUGGGUUCCGCCCCCGCUGCGGAGCUGCAGCCUCCAGGGGCCAGUGACCUUCAAGGAGGUGGCUGUGUAGAAGAGUGGGCUCUGCUGGACCCUGCUUAGGAGCCCUCUACAGCCAAGUCAUGCAGAAGAACUAUGAGAGCGUGACCUCGCUGGAGUCAGAUGAGGAUUUCUGAGUCUCUCCAAGCAAGGUUGAGCAAUUCUCCUAGUGUGGCCUCAUGCAGCAGGUGACGCAAUGGUAUGUGAGAAAGAGGAGCAGAAUUCUCAGCCGGAAAAUGUUGAGCAAGUGGAUAAACACAGGGAAUUAUCACAAAGAUUGGAAAGGAAUGUAUCCAGGAGUCAUGAGCAGGGACAAUUGUGUGAGAUUCAGCACAGAUCAGAAAGAGAGCAAGGAAACCAGCCAGGGGAGAA